CUAAAAACACACGCACAACACUACAACUUCACCGAGUGGUGAGAGAGAAAUCGAAGAGAGAAAAAUUCCAGAUCGAAGAUAAAUGUUAGAACAUUCAAGAUCGAAGAACACUGAAGCUCGAAUACUCGAAUUCAGAGGCAUAUGCAAGGUUGUGAUGCAUCAAUAUUGUUGGAUUCAACUGAUGAUCAGAUUAAAGAUAAUGAGAAGGCUGCAGGACAAAACAUAUCUUUGUUAGGGUAUGAAUUUAUUGAUGAAAUAAAGGCGAAACUUGAAGAACAGUUCCCCGGAGUUGUGUCAUGUGCUGAUAUUCUUGCACUAGCUGCUCGAGAUGCUGCUGUCUAGCAGUAGGUGUGCUGAGUUAUGUCGCUGUAAGGUAAUGUAAUAUUAGUCACUUGUACUUCAGGCUUUGUUUAGACAACAAGCAGGAUGGUAGGUUCCAAAAUACAAAAAAAUAACAUAAAAAGAUUGGAAUACUUUUGAGGUGGUCGUGGAUUAGGUAUUUAUCAUCCUAUAUGAAGAAAAAAGAAUGUGAGAGAAAGAAUUGACCACUCCUGUGAGGGUACAUUUCUGGUACAAAUGUAGUGAUAACUGGUGGAUACAACAGAUACAUAAUGAUAUUGUGAAUAAGACAACAUAUAUAAUGAUUUUGGCUGCCAUUCAAACCCCUGGAGAAGCUGUAAAUAAGUGGUGUCAAGAGACCGUUGAUGCUAUGAGACAAUCUGUUCGGGUAUUUGAGGUGGGUACAAAUUGUCUGAAACGCUUUCAAAUUUGUUUUGCUUGAAAUGCUUUCAAGUUUGGCUGCAUAAUUUGUUAGAAAUACAGAGUUUUUCAAGUUUGGCUGCGGAAUUUUUUCAUGUUUUCGCAAGCUUUAGCAUGAGGCAGCUUGUGAUUUUUUUUGUACUUUUUGAGUGUUGAGAAGCUAUUUUAACCAUAUAUUACAAUGACCUCAAAUCUUAAAAAUGUAUAUUUGAAAUGAGCUUAUUUUAGUCCAUGUUUGUAAAAAAAAUUUCCCUGACCUCAAAAACAGUUUUGUGAUUUAUUUCGGUUAGCUCACUUUAUGUUGGUUUCCAUUUCAAUCAGUUGCUGCUAUUUCUUUGGCUUUUUCGCCUGACAAGCAUUCAACAUUUAAUGUGGACUUUGCAUUUUGACAAUUUUGUUUUAAUACACCACAUUUAUGCAGGUUUUGCUAGUUCGAUCAUGCUAAACUCCAGCAAGCACAGAAGCACAACAAACGGAGCAUUGACUCCAUUGUUCCUGCUGGUUUAGAAACUAUAGAAGCCUUAGCUUAAAUCAGUACAAUGGAAUAUGGAUAGCUAGCCAAUCAGAAUUUCAAGGAUCCGUUCUCUCUUGAUUAGAAGAAGGUAAGCCAAUGAUAACAAUGCUACACAAAAUCACUGACUAAUCUUCAACGAGUUUCGCUGGUGGAGAAAUCUAAGAACAAAACGGAAGAUAAGAUGAAAACUUCUUUUGUAACUUAUGUUUAGCUAAUUUGUGUAUGUGACUUUUUCAUUUUGUUUUGACUUAGAUUAUUUUGAUUGGUUUGUAUGACGAUUAUUGUACCUCUUUUGGAUUCUUGGAUAUCUUGGAUUUAUGAAAUGAUGUUUGGAUUUGU